rnacentral:tRNA from 1 species
UGGAAGGGUAGCGAAGAGGCUAAACGCGGCGGACUGUAAAUCCGCUCCUUCGGGUUCGGGGGUUCGAAUCCCUCCUCUUCCAU